UAAAAAUCCAUCUAACUUUAAAAAUAUCAAAAAAUUUCAUAAUUUAUCCAGGAAGUUACUUGGAACCCCUCUAUUUCCCACUCAUCUUCUUUACCAUGUCUUAUGAAUCCCACAAAAAUUAAAAGAUAUCCAUAAAUCAUCGCCAACAAUGAAAAUCUACCCUAGCCAACUUUCAAGAUGGCCUCUCUCCAGCUACUAUUCGAAUUCUCUUCCCAUUCUCUUUCCCUCAUUCACCUAG
rnacentral:misc_RNA from 1 species